rnacentral:rRNA from 1 species
AACGCUGGCGGCGUGCCUAACACAUGCAAGUCGAACGAGAAAGUUGGCUUCGGCCGAUGAGUAAAGUGGCGCACGGGUGAGUUAACGCGUGGAUAAUCUGCCCUUAAGUUCGGAAUAACGUACCGAAAGGUGCGCUAAUACCGGAUAAGUACUGAGUGACUACUGUUGCUUAGUCAAAGAAGGCUUCUGUUUACAUGGCUUUUGCUAAAGGAUGAGUCCGCGUACCAUUAGCUAGUUGGUAGGGUAAUGGCCUACCAAGGCGACGAUGGUUAGCUGGUCUGAGAGGAUGAUCAGCCACACUGGAACUGAGACACGGUCCAGACUCCCUACGGGAGGCAGCAGUGAGGAAUAUUGCGCAAUGGGGGCAACCCUGACGCAGCAACGCCGCGUGAGUGAGGAAGGUUUUCGGACCGUAAAGCUCUGUCAGAUGGGAAGAAAUGGGUGGGGGCUAAUAUCGCCCAUCCUUGACGGUACCAUCAGAGGAAGCACCGGCUAACUCCGUG